rnacentral:rRNA from 1 species
AGUAACGGCGAGUGAAGCGGCAACAGCUCAAAUUUGAAAUCUGGCCCCCCGCGGGCCCGAGUUGUACUUUGGAGAGGACGCUUCUGGCGCGGCGCCGUCCGAGUUCCCUGGAACGGGACGCCGGAGAGGGUGAGAGCCCCGUACGGGCGGCCGCCUAGCCUCUGCGAAGCUCCUUCGACGAGUCGAGUAGUUUGGGAAUGCUGCUCAAAAUGGGAGGUAAAUUUCUUCUAAAGCUAAAUACCGGCCAGAGACCGAUAGCGCACAAGUAGAGUGAUCGAAAGAUGAAAAGCACUUUGAAAAGAGGGUCAAACAGUACGUGAAAUUGUUGAAAGGGAAGCGCCUGUGGCCAGACUUGCGCCCCGCGGACCACCCGGCGCCUCGCGCGCCGGGGCACGCCAGCGGGGCGCAGGCCAGCAUCGGCUCUCUCGGGGGGACAAAGGCCGCGGGAACGUAGCGCCCUCGCGGCGUAUUAUAGCCCGCGGCGCCAUGCCCCCGGGGGGGCCGAGGACCGCGCUCCGGCAAGGAUGCUGGCGUAAUGGCCACCGGCGACCCGUCUUGAAACACGGACCAAGGAGUCAAGCAUUGGGGCGAGUGUCUGGGUGGCAAGCCCGCACGCGGAAUGAAAGUGAACGCAGGUGGGAGCUUCGGCGCACCACCGACCGAUCCUGAUGUCCUCGGAUGGAUUUGAGUAGGAGCCCCGCCGCUUGGACCCGAAAGAUGGUGAACUAUGCCUGUAUAGGGUGAAGCCAGAGGAAACUCUGGUGGAGGCCCGCAGCGGUUCUGACGUGCAAAUCGAUCGUCAAAUAUGG